rnacentral:rRNA from 1 species
CCCUACGGGGGGCAGCAGUGGGGGAUAUUGCACAAUGGGGGGAACCCUGAUGCAGCGACGCCGCGUGGGUGAAGAAGCGCCUCGGCGCGUAAAGCCCUGUCAGCAGGGAAGAAAAUGACGGUACCUGAAGAAGAAGCCCCGGCUAACUACGUGCCAGCAGCCGCGGUAAUACGUAGGGGGCAAGCGUUAUCCGGAUUUACUGGGUGUAAAGGGGGCGCAGACGGCGAUGCAAGCCAGGAGUGAAAGCCCGGGGCCCAACCCCGGGACUGCUCGUGGAACUGCGUGGCUGGGGUGCAGGGGGGGAG